GAACGCUAGCGGCAGGCUUAACACAUGCAAGUCGAGGGGUAUAUUUCUUCGGAGAUAGAGACCGGCGCACGGGUGCGUAACGCGUAUGCAAUCUGCCUUUCACAGAGGGAUAGCCCAGAGAAAUUUGGAUUAAUACCUCAUAGCAUUAUAGGAUGGCAUCAUCUUAUAAUUAAAGUCACAACGGUGAAAGAUGAGCAUGCGUCCCAUUAGCUAGUUGGUAAGGUAACGGCUUACCAAGGCGACGAUGGGUAGGGGUCCUGAGAGGGAGAUCCCCCACACUGGUACUGAGACACGGACCAGACUCCUACGGGAGGCAGCAGUGAGGAAUAUUGGUCAAUGGGCGCAAGCCUGAACCAGCCAUGCCGCGUGCAGGAUGACGGUCCUAUGGAUUGUAAACUGCUUUUGUACGGGAAGAAACACUCCUUCGUGAAGGAGCUUGACGGUACCGUAAGAAUAAGGAUCGGCUAACUCCGUG
rnacentral:rRNA from 1 species